CUCGCUGUUCCUUUUUCCUAUGCAUAUACUUCUUUGAGGAUCUGGCCUAAAGAGGUAUAUGGCAUGGGAAAAUGGAGCAAUGAGGUC
rnacentral:pre_miRNA from 13 species